GAGAGCCGAGGUACUGGCAAACCAGUAUGCCCGGUUCGGGAAGAGGGCUGGGAGAAACGGCCUGGAAGAUGAACAGGAAAUCCGGUGUUGAGACUUAGUAAUCUCAGUGUUCGGACAAUACGCGCUCCCACCCUACUUUCAC
rnacentral:ncRNA from 1 species